UUGGCUGGCAAAGGGAGUGGCUGGGUGGCCUAGUUUUGUAGAAGAAUAACCAGGGAGGAGAAAGGGUAACAUCUCUAACCUGGAGCAGUUGUGACAAACCAUUAGAAACGUCUCAACUCUAUCCCUUUGGAGAGAAUGUGUUUUCAUGGUCAUAUUUUUAUUCUUGUUUAUAAAAAUCAGUUUUUCCCAACUCAGUAUCCGAAACCUGGGCUUCAGAUUCAGACCCAAGUGUGAGUUCUGGCUCUUCCCCUUCAAGCUGUGUGAUCUUGGGCAAGUUACUUUAUCGAAUUUUCUUGAUAGGGAAACUAACCCUACUUCAUGCUGUCGCUGGGAGAGCCAAAUGUGAUGAGUGCAAGUCGUACGGGCCUGGCCCAAAGCAAGCGUUUGAGAAACAGUAGCUCUAAUUAAUAAACAUAUCUACAGUGUAGGAGAUUUGAAACUCUGGUUGCUUAUUUGUGGAUAACUUUCUCUCUUUUAGCGUCUCCCGUUUGGGAAUUACAGCCAUGCGUAUGGAUCAUUGAAACUAUAGGUUUCCACGUGCAAAAAACAAACCAGGUGGGGUAUGUGGGGGCCCAGGUUGCUGGAGAAAUUCCAGGCUAUGUUUAGCCUUCUGAGAUAAAACACGAGGGCAUUUAUUUUUAAACACAUCUAAGGUGUUUUCCAACACCAAUAAGGAAAGAGGAAUCAAAACUGAUGCCUAGUGGUUCUGACAGUUAUUCCAUUAUAGUGCAGUUAUGGCCACAGAGGUGAUGUGUUGGCUCCCAGCUGAGGAGUAUUGUAUGUUCGAAGCAGCAAUGGAGUAACUCAAUUCCAAUGAAACCCAAGUUUGGUGAAGCAAUGAGAAGGCUAUUCAUCGUGACCAACCUUUAGAGAAACUGGCCUCGCCUUCUGGGGAAACAUGUCUUACGUUUCAAGCAUGUGUAAUGGCCUGGUUUUGCAACAUGGUGUUAGUUCAGAAAGUAUGCUAAGGAUGCAGCCUUCUCAGCCCUCUCUAAAACUUGUCAGCCUACCUCUUCUUGAAACCCCCAGUGCCCUCCUCUCUUUAGGUGUCUUCAUCUGAACUCUUCUUAGAGGGAGUGCUGAGUGAUUGGAGAGAUGUGCUUGGGGCACCUUCUCCUGCUUUCCAUGGGGGACCCCAGGCUUCUGGCUAUGCUUUUCUCAGGCAGUUGGGACCUAAGCAGCCUCAUGGGUCUCCCCUCCCUACCACCACUCACUGCUCCCAAACUGUUCUCCUUCCACUGACUUAUCAAGCUUUACCUGUCCCCUGUUCCAUUUUUUUGGCGGACCCUGAACGAGCAACCUGGUACCCUAGUAGAAAGCUCCAGGAAAGCUUCAUUAGAAUUGAAUAUAUGCAUUCAGCCAUUGGCACUGGCCUAAGGUAAGUAAUAGUGACUUCUUCCCCACAGAUAACAUUUCCUUUCCGCCAGACAGAUUUGGUGCCCUUUCCCAUGUGGACUCAGGCCACCUUUUAGUUCCAGCUGUUAUUGUGGCAACACCUGUACCCGGAUGUAGCCUGGCAGCCCCUUUCCUCCGGCCUCAGGGCUUCCCCCACCCCACGGCCAGUGGGAGCCAGCCCAGCCAUGCCCACACACAUGCAUGUCCGCGUGGGCACGCACACACAUACACGCACAGACCUGGAGGUGUGCUGGAGUCAACACUCCAACUUUGACCAAUGGAGACAAGAGCCCAUGGGUAAAACUCCCCUCUCCCAUGUCUUUCACUCUCCCUCUCCCCUCUCCCGUGUUCCUCAGAAGCUCCGCCUGAGGGACUGACCCAUGUGACCACAGUGGUAGCCAGUUCCCAAAUGCACCCCUGGAUUGCCUUUCCCUUCCUCCUUGUUUUGUUUCCUGGUCCCCCCACUCUAGAUCCUGGGGUUUACCUCUCAAAAUAAACUACCUGCACAUAGGCCCUCAUCUCAGGCCUUCCGUUUUGAGAGAACCCAAGGCAAAACAUCCUUUCUAACAGAGGACUUCUUAAGACCCUCUUAAUCUAAGACAAUACAUGUCCACAGGUAGAAUCUCUGGGCUGUGGGGUAUUUGUUGAGAGACAGUACUCCUCCUCUCCCCUCCCAUCGUUAUCUAGCCAUAAUCGCUUAUGGCUUUUGUCAUGUUCGAUUGUCAUGGCCUGCUUAUGUUUGUCUCCCAACACACCGAAUUCAGGGACGGCAUCUCCUCUAUCUCCAUGUGCCCAGCACCAAAUCUGGCAUGAAGUUGGUGCUUAAUAAACAUAUUCUUCCUUUCUCUUUUUCUUUCUUUCUUUUUCUUUCUUUCUUUCUUUCUUUCUUUCUUUCUUUCUUUCUUCUUGUUUAGAUUUAUUUAUUUAUUUAUUUAUUUAUUUAUUUUGAAAGAGAGAGCAAGCGGGGUAGGGGCAGAGAGAGAGAGAUGGGAGAGAAAGAAUCCCAAGCAGGCUCCACACCACACAGCCCAAUGUGGGGCUCGAACUCACAAACCGGGAGAUCAUGACCUGACCAAAACCAAGAGUUGGAUGCUUAACCAACUGAGCCACUCAGGCUCCCUUAAUAAACGUAUUCUUGAUGGAUGGAAGAAUAAAUGAAUGAGUGAAUGCAAGAGAACCAUGGUUGUUCCCUAACACUUAUCAUAGUUAAUUAUUCACUCUACCUAAACCACAUCUACAUCCCCCCAAAUACAAACGCGAUAUAAUAUAAAAUGAUCUAACAGAAUUAAGGGACAUUUCAGGGGGGGAAAUGCUCACUCGCACACACACAAGGAAUGCUUUGUCAUUCCUGUGACUCUCCCCCUGUCAUCAUUCUGGAGACUCUUGUUUUGUAGCCACUGAGAACUGACCCCAACUUGAUCCCUUUUUUCUGCCUUCCUGGGUGAUCUUUUAGAUAUAAUUUGGAUCUGCAUAGACUUCCCUUCAGAGAUUCCUCCAGGGGAUAAGGCAGUCAUAUCAAAAACUUCAGGUCUUCUAUGAGUUUUUAGGAUCACUCAGAGCUGGGGUGACAAGGCUCAUAAUCCCCAUAUUUUACCUGGAUCCCUAUAGUAAAAGACGAAGCCAUCUUGGCACCAAGAAGAGAAACUCAUCUUGAAAGGCAUCUCAGGGUGCCAGCAAGCUCUGUUCAAAUUCCGUUACCCUCUCUCUGCACUUCCUGUGCAACUGUGAUGAUUUUUCUCUGCGACCUGUAUAUUCCACUUGUGGUGAUGCUGAGCCCGGCAGGAGGGGAGGCAGGACCUCUGUGGGAGAAUGUAGUGAGAGUGAUCACACACCCCUCUGUAGCCAGGAAGGCUCAGCACCUUUGUUCCUGCAGCUGGAAGGCAGAUUCUCUCAGUAGCUUAAGUGGAGUCUUAAAGCCUUACUUACUAUAAAACAUUUGAAACAAUCGCAAGUUUGUACAUCAUCUUAUUUUAAAUUUAGUUCCCCAUUUAAAUGAGAAAUUAAGCUCUUAGCAAUGUCUGCAACAAAAGUAGUAGUUGUAGCAGACUUAAGUAAGUUUAAUAUUGUCUUGCGAUCAGCCAUGACUUAUCGGUUAGGAUGCUUUUGGUUGCAAGUAACAGAAACUCCAGAUCAAACCAACUUGAACAAUAAGAAAUCUAUUCUCUCACAUAACAGAAAGAAAAGAGGUACAUUUCCCGGGCUGGUUGAGUCAGCAGCUCAAAGAUGUCAUCAAGGACCCAAGUUUUCUUUGCUCCACCAUGUUAAGUGUUGGCUUCACCUUUGGGAGUGAGAAAGUUGUAGCAGUCAGUCCCAAGCUUCACACCCAGACCCCAUAAUCCAGAGGAAAAAGAGAGACUACCUCGUCUAGUGGUUCCUUUUAGGAGAAAAGAAACAUUUCCCAACGCUCCCCCACCCCAUCUGAUUUUAUCUUGUAUCUCAUAUCUAGAAGAGGGUCUUAGCUUGAGCUAAAUUAUGCUCCAGUAAGAAAUAAUCCCCAGGAUAUGAGGACGAGCUGGCUGUGACAUCUGUCACCCCAUUGAUGGCCAAGGUUGAUUUGGCUGAUCUGGCUGCCUAGGUGGGUGUCGCCUUCCUCCCUUAUGGCUCCAUGUGUGUCCCUCCCAAAGCUGCCCACUCACCUGUGCUAGAGGGCAACCUUCCCCAAGUAGAGGAGGAUAUUUCUUCAGUCAAUGGUGUUCAGGUAACUCCUCUGCUAGAACCUCCAAACAAGCUCUAGAGGUCCAGUUUUAGAAGGUGGGGUCAGUCAAGCUUCUGAGAUUCCAGAUACCUCCAAAUGACGUGCUGCAUGUGGCAGCCUGCCUUUCUCUAAAAGAAAGAGAGGAAGGAAGGAAGGAAGGAAGGAAGGAAGGAAGGAAGGAAGGAAGGAAGGAAGGAAGGAAAUAAGGAAGAAAAGGAGGGAGAGAGGGAAGGAGGACCCCCAAAUCUCGCUGGUUUCACACAGCAAACGUUUACUUUUUGCUUCAUGCAAAGUGUGCCAUGAGUCCAGAGACUUUCCAGGAUGGUGAUCUCCUUGGGUUGGCUCAGAAAUCUUGUGGUACCUGCAUGUCCAAACAUUCUUUCACAGUUGCUGUGUCAGAGGAAGAGAGUGGUGGAAGGCCUUGGUGCAACAAUCUAAUGUUGAACCCUGGAAUGAUACUUGUCACAUUAGUUCAUGGCCCAUUAGUUAUAUGGCCCCAUCCAUUUGCAAGUGGAUGGAGAAGCGUGAUCUUCCUAUGUCUUAGGGAUGGACUGUAGAACCAAAUAGGGAGGGUGCUGGAAAGUCUCUGUCACUGUGCUCAGUACUGAUGAAUAGCUUGCAAGGGGGUGGGAGAGUGAUGAGCAGUGUUGUAAGAUUAGGCUGAUCUAAAACAGGAUGGAUGUUGGGGACUGAACCAUAAAUCUACCCCAGGUGGUUUGAAUAUUAAGAAGACAACAAAUAUAAACCUUUGAGACUCUUGGCAAAUGACACAGAAAUCAGAGAGCAGGUCGUUCUGGGUUGACCAUGUAUUGAUUACUCAAUUUUUUUUAUUUGAUUAUAAGAGAAAAGAAUGACAAUUCCAGUAACCUGUGUUAGAAUCUCACCUGAACACAUCACCACCCUCUACCUGAAAAGUCCCAUCUGCUUAAACAAUUCAAAUUGGGAGAUACAGGGGCGCCUGGGUGGCUCAGUCGGUUAAGCAGCCGACUUCGGCUCAGGUCAUGAUCUUGCGGUCCGUGGGUUCGAGCCCUGCGUCGGGCUCUGUGCUGACAGCUCAGAGCCUGGAGCCUAUUUCAGAUUCUGUGUCUCCCUCUCUCUGACCCUCCCCCAUUCAUGCUCUGUCUCUGUCUCAAAAAUAAAUAAACGUUAAAAAAAAAAAUUUUUUUUUUAUAAAACAAAUUGGGAGAUACAGAUUUUUUUACAUCAGGGUUGAUUUGGACUUCACAACUGAAUAUUUGAGAGCCCAUAAAAUAUGCUUUUCAACCCUGCAGAGCUAUCUCUAUUAAUUAAAACUCAGUUACAUGGCUAGUGAUCACACCCAGUCCUGGAUAUAAGAAACAAGUGGGUGGGCAACUUUUGGAAGCUCUUUUUUCCUAUAAAACCAAACCUAGGACACUGUAAAGGGUUUUUCGGGUUCCCUCAAUUUCUCAAAAUGGGACUUGCCUACUCUAAAAGGUAGUGUCGGCCUCAUUUUUGAAAACUUCUUUAACCCUCUUGCCCAUCCAGUGACCAGCUGCAUUAAAAUUCUUUAGAGAGGAGCAGCCCUCAGUCAUCGGUUGAGCAUCAGGCUUCAUCUCAGGUCAUGAUCUUGCAGUUCAUGAGUUCAAGUCCUACAUCAGGCUCUGCACUGUCAGUGCAGAGCCUGCUUGGAAUUCUCUCUCUCUGCCCCUUCCCCACUUGCACUCUCUCUCAAAAUAAAUAAAUACACUUUAAAGUAAAUAAAUAAAUUCCUUAGAGAAUUUUAAAACCUUGCACAAACAGGGGAAAAAAAGGUAAAUAAAUGGAUAAAUAUAAAUAUAUAAAUAAAUAUAUACAUAGAAGCAGCUCAAGUUUGGAGAUUCUGCUUGAAUAGCUGUAGUAUGUGGUGCUGGAAUCUGGAUUUUUCUAAAGUAUCCCAAGUAAUCACGACCCAGUGCCAGGUUUCGCAUCACUGCAAUCUGUCAACAGGUAAAGGGCCCCCCAUUGACGUUGUUUUUUUCUGCACCUGAUCGUUACUUUAUGGAACAAAUAACAGUUCUCCUUAGCUUGUUAGGGAAAACAAAGUGACGUUUAUUGAGCCUAAUAGAAUGAUAAAUCCAGUCUGCAGGCACUUUAUUGUGUCUACAAUUAGUUAUUUUGUUUGUUGGUGCUUUUCUGAUAAGCUGGAUGAGGAUAUCUCCAAAGGAAGCAUGGACACUUUUUUCUGAUUUGACUCCUUAUAGGAUAACUUUUAAUGUAAGUGAGCCUGUUUUUAAUAUAGUUGUCUCUCCUCAUAUGCAGAAGUGUUUGCUAGUGUUCAUUGCUUGCCACUUACCGUGGCAAAUAUUGGAUGAUAGAAAACUUGCCUCCACUCUCUGCACCUCAGUUUAUUCAUCUGUGAAGUGGACGUAACAGUAGCAUCUAUUGCAAGAGGUUGUUACAAAGCAAACAAGACAGAACAGAGAACCGAGAAACAGACUCACGCAGAUACGCCCAAUGGAAUUUUGACACGGUUGCGGAAGAAACUGAACAGAGGAAAAUGGCUUUUUCAAGUUUCCGGUGCUGAAGCAAUUGGACAUCCUUUCGGUGUGGGGCCCCGGGCGGUGGGGGAAGACCUCCCUUAGUCUUGCAUCAUAUACAAAAAUGCACUCAAAACAGAUUGUGGCCUUAAAUGGAAAAUGGAAAGCUAUAAAACCUUUAGAAACAAACAUAAGGAAAAAAAGCUUGAGGAUCUAGGGCUAGCAAGUUCUUACAGCUGACACCAAAAGCAUGACCCAUAGAAGGAAAAAUAGAUAAAUUGGACUUUCUCAACAUUGAAAAGUUUGCUCUGCAAAAGCAAAACAAAAAAGCCCGUGAACACAAUGAAAAGCAAAGCUACAGACUGGGAAAAAAUAUCUCAAGUUGUGUACUAAUAAAGACUAGUAAUGUACAAUAUAUAAAACUCAAAAACUCAAAACUCAAGAGUAAAAAAAAAAAUCCAAUGGAAAAUGAGCAAAAGCUGUGAAGAGACAUUUCAUCCAAAAGUAGGUAGAAACUGUAAGAAGCACAUGAAAAUAUGUUCAACCUCAUUAGGGAAAUGUAAAAUAAAACUACAAUGAAACAUGGGUACACACCUAGCAGAAAGACUAACAUAAAAAAAUAGUGACAAACCCAAUGUGGGUGAGGACGUGGAAAAACUAGAUCGCUCGUGCAUUCGUCGUGGGAAUGGAAAACAGUCUGGCAAUUGCUUAAGAAAUUAAACGUGCAACAAUCAUACAACCCAAUAAUUACUCCUGGGCAUUUAUCCCAGAGAAAUGAAGACUUACAUUCACACACAAACCUGUACAGGAAUGUUUACAGAAGCUUUAUUUCUAACAGCCAAAAGGAAACAACCCAGAUAUCCUUUACCAGGUGAGUGGGUAAAAAAAAUGGCACAUCCAUACCACGGGAUGGUCCUCAGCACUAAAGGAUCAUGAACUACUGACACAUGAAACAACCUGGAUGAAUCUCCAUAAAAUUACACUGAGUGGGGGAGAAAAACCCCACAAAAGAUUCUGUGCUGCAUAAUUCCAUAUUAAUGACAAAUGUAUAGAAACGGAGAACAGACUAGUGGCUGCUAGGGGUUACAGAGGAGAGGGGGUGAGAGGGAAGUAGGUGUGUCUAUAGAAGGACAACACGAGGGACCCAGGGGUGAUGGAAAUACUGUGUAUCUUGACUGUAUCACUGUCAGUAUCCUGGUUCUGACAUUGCUCUUGGAGGAUAUGACUGCUGGGAGAAACUGGAUAAAGGAUGCCCAGGCUCUCUCUUAUUUCCGACAGUGACAUGUGAAUCUACAAUCAUCUCAAACUAAAAAGUUUCACUGAAAUAAUCAAAUGAGUUAAUAUCCAUGACAGACGCAUAGUAAGUCUUUAGUACAUCUUAGCUGUUACUAAUUGCACUUUCCUGCAGUCACUUGGUACAACUUCCGUUUUGUCCAUCUGUCCCUUCUGAAAUACCAUGCAGCAAUGGUACAGCGGUGACACAGUGGCAGCUGGAGUCACCCUCAACUUCUCACCCCAACUCUGAUAGUCAUGAAUCAGCCGUGUGACAUUAGGCGAGAUAAAAAUCUUUCUCCUGCCUUCUUUUCUUCAGAAAUGAGGAUACUAAAUCCCCCUCUACCCCUCAUCAUGGGGCGUUUAGGUUUGUUUGCUUGUUUAAGAAUCAAAUAGAUGAUGUACAGGGAGGGAGGAAGCUUUGAAAACUGUUAAGUGCUACCAAAAUGCUACACAUUGCACAUACGCUUAUUAAAUACCUCGUACUCCUCUACUACCGCUAUUACUAAUAAAUAUGACCAUUUACUCGCUUGAAACCCUAGUUGGAAUUUGGCAUGCAAAUUUCCUGAGUGUUGCUCAUUUGCAUUGGAAAAAAGGAAAGAGGUGGGAGGCCUUUUGAAGCCUUUUGAAAAUUGAGCUCAGGGGGGGAUGAAUUCUUAUCACUGGGCCCAAGGUAUAAUUGAUUUUCUACACAAUGGCUCACAGGUGCUACAUUUAACACCCUGAGUAGUAGGAGGAAGGAAAUGUAUCCCAAGGUGCAGCUUUAACUUAAAAUAUCUCCAGAGUCAGCACCUCCACUCGGGAAGGCUGAGGAGCCUGGGGGCUGGGGUACCCCACCUUUCCUCCAGUUGUCUGAAUGCGCGGAGGGAGACACCUGCUCCUCACUUACUUCUCACCCCACUCAGAGAAUUGGGCCUCAGGUUUCUUAUUUUCAGUGGCCAGAUGCCAACAGCCCCUCUUUUCAGGCCUGGCUCACAAGGUUAGGGAAGAACACAGGGCAAGCCCACCAUGAAAUACAUAUUAAUAUUAUAACAACCCUUUCAGAAUUCACUGUUGCUAUGUCAACAAAGCAGCUGGGGAAAUUGGGUCUUUGGGAAAUUGGGAAAUGAGGUCGGCUUUGGCAACAUGGCAAAUAUUUCCUUCUCUCAGAACAAUUGGUCUGUGACACCAGCCAGCCUUUUUCUACCUACCCUUUCUCCUGCUUAUUUGUGGGAAACUGAGAAGCAAAACAGUGGUCAUUAAGAUUUGGGGUUAGGGAGAUUCUGCGUCAUGGAAAAAGUGACAGAAAUAAAAAUUAUUUCCCUCUCCCCCUCGUCGCCUGUUUAUGUCAGUUUCUCGGUCCCAGCUUGGACGCCACCGGACUGAACGUGGAUGCUGUACCCAGCUCUGUGACUUUAGAUGAAUUACUGACCUCAUCGUAGUCUCAAUUACCUCGUCUUAUGAAACAAAGGUAUAUUCGUAAGGCCCGCUACACAAUUUGUGGGGCUCAAUACAAGGUAAAAAUGCACGGCCCCCUAUUCAAAAAUUAAGGAUUUCAAGAUGGCGACAGCAGAACAUUAAACCAAGCACAGUGCCUUUGUAAGGACAGGCCUCAUGUGAAGGCCCAGGUCUCAGACCCAUGAAGCUGGCCCUAUGUAUCAGUUAUGACUCCAGGCUCACAAAUGAGAGAAGUCAAGUCACACUCCUUCCUCAGAAAGAUAACUUAACAGAUGGUUACCGUGGUGUCGUGGAAACCAAAGGAGAGUUGAACAAAUGAGGGGUCAUCCCCCAGCCUGGUGGAAAAGCAGAGCCCAGGCACCUCCUGAGUUUUCUGUGCCAUAGCUUCAGCCACCAGAGAGACUCGCUGACUUGUUCUCGUGGUCUCCUGGAUUAAGUGAGGUGCCCACUGUAGACCAAUCAACCCUGAAUGGGGGCCCAGGUAAAUUUCAGAGUAGAAAUUUACCAGAGUAGAGGUCCGGCAGGUAAUCCCACAGCUGCCCUUGGUGUUAUGUAAGAACAAAGAUAGCAGAUUUCACCUCACUGCUGCCACAGGUCUAUUGGUUAGCAGCUGCCUAGACAGCGGGGUAGACAAGGUGCCUGGGGCCACACUGGACUCUCUCGAAGGCAGGCCAUCAUGCUGUCUCCCAUGAGGAGGGUCGGCCCAGGUGCAUGCACGUGCCAACUGUGGACAAGAUUCUGUGAGCUCAAAAUUUUCUUACAGCCCUCACAUUCUAGAGUAUUUCCUCUCUGCUCCUGCUCAUCCCCAAAAUCAACUUUCAGGAAGCCUUCAUGUGUAGGGAUAAUUUAUUUCAUUCAAUAGAUGUCGGUGAAAUGUGAUUAAAUCUUUUAAAAUUAAAUGGAUGUAUUUGGAAUACACGAGAGAAAUGCUCUAGCUUAAGCAAUUCUGAAGUGAAUCCUUUGGUAAAGCAGACUCUUAUUUAAAUUGAAUAGCCACUUAGCUCCUUAGCAAAUCUGAAUUUUUAUGUAGAGUGCUUUGCUUAAGAUAGAGAGACUGAGGAUCUGGCUUGGAAAGACAACCACUGAGAAGGUGAUGGGUCUGCAGCUUGCAGAAAAAGGCAUAACAGCCCUCAGUCUAUCCCACUCCCACCUAGAUGUCAGUGGAGAAUUUUCCUUCAUCUGGACCCUUUGGGUGGCUUGUCCCCUUUAAGGAUGCCUGAGUGUUUAUUCUAGCAUGAGUCCACUUGUAGGGUAGGGGUUGUUGUUGUUAUUUUUUUGGUAGGAUUGUUACGGAAACUGGUCUGGAUCACCCGGCAGAAGAACCAAGCGGCACUCGGAGAUCUUGGAAGGCAGGAGGUUUAUUUUACACUGGCAGGCUCAGAGGAGAUCAUUCUCCGGAGGUCUGAGCCCAGAGCAUCAACAGAGGGGACAAUUUAUAGUCCCCUCGAGGGGACUUCUGCAUCCCUCAAGGGUAGUAAUUUGGCGCCUGAGGCAAGCAGGGUGGGAAGAACCGGAAGGGAGGUCUUCAGGCAGGGACUGAAAUUCCCUUAUCAGUCCCGUCUGCCGUCAUAUAACAGAUUUUUCCCUAACAGGACGAGGAGGGGACAAAUCAGAGUGACAGAG
rnacentral:lncRNA from 1 species